rnacentral:rRNA from 1 species
CAAUAGCGUAUAUUAAAGUUGUUGCAGUUAAAAAGCUCGUAGUUGGAUUUCUGGUCGGAAGCUCCUGUCCUCUGAUGAGCGUACAAGUGCGUCCUACCAUCCUUCUGUUAACCUUUAAGGCUUUCGCGGCUUUCUAGGGGCUCAGAUAUUUUACCUUGAGAAAAUUAGAGUGUUUCGGGCAGGCUAGCGCCGGAAUACAUUAGCAUGGAAUAAUGGAAUAGGACUUUUGCCUCUUCUGUUGGUCAUGAGGCUCGAGUAAUGAUUAAUAGGGAUAGUUGGGGGCAUUAGUACUUAACUGUCAGAGGUGAAAUUCUCGGAUUUGUUAAAGACUAACUUAUGCGAAAGCAUUUGCCAAGGAUGUUUUCAUUAA